UGCAAGUCGAGCGGUAAGGCCUUUCGGGGUACACGAGCGGCGAACGGGUGAGUAACACGUGGGUGAUCUGCCCUGCACUCUGGGAUAAGCUUGGGAAACUGGGUCUAAUACCGGAUAUGACUACAGCAUGCAUGUGUUGUGGUGGAAAGAUUUAUCGGUGCAGGAUGGGCCCGCGGCCUAUCAGCUUGUUGGUGGGGUAAUGGCCUACCAAGGCGACGACGGGUAGCCGACCUGAGAGGGUGACCGGCCACACUGGGACUGAGACACGGCCCAGACUCCUACGGGAGGCAGCAGUGGGGAAUAUUGCACAAUGGGCGGAAGCCUGAUGCAGCGACGCCGCGUGAGGGAUGAAGGCCUUCGGGUUGUAAACCUCUUUCAGCAGGGACGAAGCGUGAGUGACGGUACCUGCAGAAGAAGCACCGGCUAACUACGUGCCAGCAGCCGCGGUAAUACGUAGGGUGCGAGCGUUGUCCGGAAUUACUGGGCGUAAAGAGUUCGUAGGCGGUUUGUCGCGUCGUUUGUGAAAACCCGGGGCUCAACUUCGGGCUUGCAGGCGAUACGGGCAGACUUGAGUGUUUCAGGGGAGACUGGAAUUCCUGGUGUAGCGGUGAAAUGCGCAGAUAUCAGGAGGAACACCGGUGGCGAAGGCGGGUCUCUGGGAAACAACUGACGCUGAGGAACGAAAGCGUGGGUAGCAAACAGGAUUAGAUACCCUGGUAGUCCACGCCGUAAACGGUGGGCGCUAGGUGUGGGUUCCUUCCACGGGAUCUGUGCCGUAGCUAACGCAUUAAGCGCCCCGCCUGGGGAGUACGGCCGCAAGGCUAAAACUCAAAGGAAUUGACGGGGG
rnacentral:rRNA from 1 species